CAAAGAAAGAGCGAAAAAAAAAAAAAAAAAAAAAAAAA
rnacentral:ribozyme from 1 species